rnacentral:lncRNA from 1 species
GGGCUGUGGGAGCCCAGCGGAGAGGGUGAGGAUCCGCGGGCAGGUGGGACAGGUGAGCUGGGAGGUGAGAGAUGGGCAGGGCUGCCUGAAAGGCAAGUUCAUCCCAGAGCAGCGAGCAGGGCGCAGCCAAAGGCCGUGGGGGAAACAGCGGCGAGAAAAAAACGGCCAAAAUUCUGCCCGCAGUGCGCCUGUAUCCUAGCGGGGCGGCCACAAAAAUAUUGUUGAGUAGCAAGAAGUGUUUCGAAAGUGUGCAGUGGGUAAAGUGUGAGAAAAUAAAGCAGAUUUAAUCAAGAGGAACGGAGUCCUCAGGGCUGGCUGGAGAGGAGCGUGGUUUCAAGAACGCGGUCAGGAAAGGACUCGCUGAGAAGAAAUUUGGCGCCCAAACGUUCCUGGCACCGCCCGCGGCUGCUGAUUGGCUCAAGCCCGUAGGAUUCCUCUGGGCCUGAAGGUGCGGGGAGGGACUUGCACUUUCAGCUCCUGAUUGGCUGUGCGUCAGCUCCCAGAGGCAAGUGUCCGUGGGGGAAAGCUCCAUCUGCCUCGCAGAUCUGCUGCGUAAUAGGCACCUGAAGCUGCUGAUUGGCUACUAAAGAGGCCUGUGCAGCCACUGAUUGGCUGUGGGGUAGACGCACAACGUGCGAGGCGCGCGGGCUGGGCCCAGGGCGACAGCGGAGCCUUCACACCGCUUUCUCCGCGCGCUGAUGGAGGAUUCCUGGCCUCACAGCAGUGCCUGGCCUGUGGGCGUCCCCGGCAGUCCUCGGCUGCGGGACCUGUAUCGGGACUGCGCAAAGUGGGCUUCCAGGAGAGCAGGGCGUCCCUCAGUCAGCUGACCCCUUGGAGCGUGGGGCAGCCCAGGCCCGUGAGGCCGCCAGUGUCACCCUCAGGCCCGCGAGGCCCCCGAGCCCCUUGUGGGGUCCAAGGCCCAUUCUGGAUCAGUCACGAGGCAAGACCGCGGACCCUCAGGAGAUCACCAGGAGCCCGCCGCGCAUUCCUCCGCCUCCACCACGCCAGUCACCUGCUCAGCCCGAGGGCAGCCAGCGGCCGUCGCCCCAGUGAGGCGGCCGGUGAGGAGCUGAGGCCGUGACCAGGGCAGCGCCCCGCGAGUCAGCGUCAGUCCCCGCGCCAGCCAGUUCCUCAGACAAUCAGCUCACCAUUCCCAUCGCGUAUGCUGGGAAAUCAUCAAUAUACCCGCUGUCAUGGGUCAGUGCUCACACAAUGAAGAUGACACAGAAGGAGAGGAAGACCAGGGCUGUGGCUCCAGCUCCCCCGACCGCCCCCAGCAACACUCCUGAUACAGGCCUCAUUUUGCCUGAGGAUGGAUUGGAAUUGUUUUGGUGAUCCAACUCCAAGAACUGGGUCUCUUCUCCUCCCACUUCCUAUAAGGCCCCCAACUUGGGUACCCUAAUCCCCCUUCCCAGAAACAAAGGGCAAGAAUGGGAGGGAGGAGGAAGGGACAACUCCUGAGGUCACUGAGGCAUGAGAGUGGUAAGCACAGCCUGCCUGUAUUUGAAAUUUUGAUUUGUAUUCACUGUCAAAUUAUUUUGCAAUAAUUUUUAGUUUUUAAUAAAGAUAAUC